GGCGGGAGGAGCAGCAGCAGCAGCAGCGCCCCAGUCCCGGAGCCCCAACGCUGGAGGAAGCAAGGAGCCGCGCGCCCCGAUCCAGCCGGGGAAAUUGGGGGGGGUUUGCCUGCGUGGAAUUUGGGGAGGGGGGUAAAAGGCAGACGGACCAGGCACCGCCCGAGCGAGGCUCCAAACCCCGAAAUUCGGGGGGCCCCCCACACUUUUUUUCCCUCCCUAUUUUUGGCCCGAUCCAGCGCAGCUUCAGGAUCUCCCCCGGAUCUUUUUUUUUUUUUUUCUUUGUUUGCGCCGCGAAGGUUCCCGACGAGGCAGGAUUUGCUCCGUUGCAAGAAAACGUAUGUGAACCCCUUGGGAUUACGUGGAGUUUUGCAUGAAUCGGUCAUAAAAUGUGCUCCGAACUUCAUCUAAGUCACAACAAUAGAAAAACACAGUCUGCUUAAAAUAAUACUACACAAACAUUAGAUGUUGCCAUGGUUUAAUGGAACAUAACAUGUAAACAUUCACAGUGCAGGGAGGAAAAAGUAUGUGAACCUUUGGACUUAAUAACUGGGUGACCCUCCUUUGGCAGCAAUAACCUCAACCAAACGUUUCCUGUAGUUGCAGAUCAGACCUGCACAACGAUCUGGAGUAAUUUUGGACCACUCCUCUUCACAAAACUCUUUCAGCUUAGCAAUAUUCGUGGGAUGUCUGGUGUGAAUCGCAUUUCAAUCGGGUUGAGGUCAGGACUCCGACUGGGCCACUCCAGAAGGCGUAUUCUGUGCUGUUGAAGCCAUUUUUUUGUUGAAUUACUUGUAUGCUUUGGGUCAUUGUCCUGUUGCAUCGCCCAUCCUCUGCGGAGCUUCAGUUGGCGGACAGAUGGUCGUACGUUUUCCUGCAAAAUAUCUUGAUAAAACUGUGGAAGUCAUUUUCCCAUCAAUGACAACAAUCCGUCCAGGCCCUGAAGCAGCAAAGCAGCCCCAAACCAUGAUGCUCCCUCCGCCAUGUUUUACAGUGGGGAUGAGGUUUUGAUGUUGCUGUGCUGUGCCUUUUUUUCUCCACACAUAGUGUUGUUGUGUGUUCUUCCCAAACAACUCAGUUUUGCUUUCAUCUGUCCACAGUAUAUUUUGCCAUAGUGCUGUGGAACAUCCAGGUGCUCUUUUGCAAACUUCAAACGUGCUGCAAUAUUUUUUUGGGACAGCAAUGGCCUCCUCCGUGGGGUCCUCCCAUGUCCUCCAUUCUUGUUUAGUGUUUUCCUUAUUGUAGAUGCGUCAACAAAAAUGUUAGCACGUGCCAGAGAUUUCUGUAGGUCUUUAGCUGACGCUGUAGGAUUCUUCUUUACCUCGUGAAGCAUUCUGCGCUGUGCUCUUGCAGUCAUUUUUACAGGACGGCCACGCCUAGGGAGAGUAGCAACGGUGCUAAACUUUCUCCAUUUGUAGACCGUCUGUCUUACCGUGGACACAUGAACAUCAAGGCUGUUGGAGAUAGUUUUGUAACCCUUUCCAGCUUUAUGCAAGUCAACAAUUCUUGAUCGUAGGUCUUCUGAGAGCUCUUUUCUACGAGGCAUGGUUCACAUCGGACAGUGCUUCUCGAAACCAGUAAACCCAAAACAGGUGUGUGUUUUUAAAGGGCAGGACAGCUGUCGGCAACACAUCCAAUAUCAUCACACUGAUUGGAGUCAAGGUUGGCUCACUCCUGGCUCCAAUUAGCUCUUGGAGAAGUCAUUAGGCCAGGGGCUCUCAUACUUUUUCCUCCCUGCACUGUGAAUGUUUACAUGUUAUGUUCCAUUAAACCAUGGCAACAUCUAAUGUUUGUGUAGUAUUAUUUUAAGCAGACUGUGUUUUUCUAUUGUUGUGACUUGGAUGAAGUUCAGAGCGCAUUUUAUGACCGAUUCAUGCAAAACUCCACGUAAUCCCAAGGGGUUCACGUACUUUUUCUUGCAACUGUAUUUGUUUCUCUGUCCCUUUAUUUCUUUUUUCUCCCUUUCUCUCUCUCUUCUCUCUCCCUCCCUCUCUUCCCCUUUCUCUUUUUUCUCCCUCCCUCUUUUUCUCUUUAUUUCUCAUUCUCUCUCCCUUUCUCUCUCUCUCUCUCUCUCUCUCUCCCUCUCCCACCCACCCCAUUUCAAUCUUGCAGCCUUCUGUCUUCCUUCAUUCCCCUUUUCCUCACCUGCUGCAUUGGACUUCGAUGAAUAAAAUUCUCAUUUUCCCCAA